rnacentral:snRNA from 1 species
GUCUUCAUUACGGUGGGACAUAUACUAAAAUUGGAACGAUACAGAGAAGAUUAGCAUGGCCCCUGGCGCAAGGAUGACACGCACAUUCGUGAAGCGUUCCAUAUUUUU